rnacentral:rRNA from 1 species
UACGGAGGAUGCGAGCGUUAUCCGGAUUUAUUGGGUUUAAAGGGUGCGUAGGCGGAGUGCCAAGUCAGCGGUAAAAAUUCGGGGCUCAACCCCGUCGUGCCGUUGAAACUGGCGCCCAUGAGUGGGCGAGAAGUAUGCGGAAUGCGUGGUGUAGCGGUGAAAUGCAUAGAUAUCACGCAGAACUCCGAUUGCGAAGGCAGCGUACCGGCAUCCAACUGACGCUGAGGCACGAAAGCGUGGGGAUCAAACAGG